UGGAAAAGCCUUGCUCUUUCUCACACAGCAGAACCCAUCAGCCUGGGGAGAGAUUGUUUCCCUCUGAUCCAGUUAGAGGAGAAAGGCAGGGAUCUCUCACAAGGUGAGCAGUAGCAGGAUGGCUUUUUGAUGUUUCUCUUCUAGGAAAGCCAUGUCUUUUCUCCAUGGCAGAAGGGCACCAGAUCUUCCUGUUACAUGUGCCGCUUGGCCCGACAGCGGGGACAUCACUGCCCUCGAGGACAUCGAUGCCCUUGGGGACAUCACUGCCCAGCCCAGGAUGGUGUCUGGGCUGCUCCCUCGGGAAGGCGGUUUGGGAAAAGGCAGGAACAGGUCGGGAACCAGCAGAACCGGCUGUGUGCUGGGUUCCUGUCUGUGCAGACACGGCAGUCCUACGGCUCUCACUGGGGUCUCCCCUGUUUCCAGUGCUGUCGAGCAGCUCUCAGAUCUGUGAUAAUUUAAUUAACCUGCCCUGUUCUGCCGCGGCUGUCAGAGCAGGGGAAAAGGAUCCAGGCACCCGGGGAGUUCCUUCUUUGCCUGAGCACAUACGUCUCCUACGCAAAAGUCACAGAAGAGCAAUUCCCCCACCAGGAAAGCUCAUUGUGGGUUUUUUGAAAACAUAG
rnacentral:lncRNA from 1 species